UCCGGAUGUUAGCGGCGGACGGGUGAGUAACACGUGGGUAACCUGCCUGUAAGACUGGGAUAACUCCGGGAAACCGGAGCUAAUACCGGAUAGUUCCUUGAACCGCAUGGUUCAAGGAUGAAAGACGGUUUCGGCUGUCACUUACAGAUGGACCCGCGGCGCAUUAGCUAGUUGGUGAGGUAACGGCUCACCAAGGCGACGAUGCGUAGCCGACCUGAGAGGGUGAUCGGCCACACUGGGACUGAGACACGGCCCAGACUCCUACGGGAGGCAGCAGUGGUCAUACUGGUUUCCUG
rnacentral:rRNA from 1 species